AGAGUUUGAUCAUGGCUCAGAACGAACGCUGGCGGCGUGGAUAAGACAUGCAAGUCGAACGAGACUUUUCGUUGUAGCAAUACGAUGGAAAGUUUAGUGGCGAACGGGUGCUUAACACGUGGGCAACCUGCCAUGAAGUGGGGGAUAGCUCGCCGAAAGGCGAAUUAAUACCGCAUGUGAUUAGAGAGGACAUCCUUUCGAAAUUAAAGUCGGGGCAACCUGACGCUUCUUGUGGGGCCCGCGGCCUAUCAGCUAGUUGGUGAGGUAAUGGCUCACCAAGGCUUUGACGGGUAGCUGGUCUGAGAGGACGACCAGCCACACUGGGACUGAGACACGGCCCAGACACCUACGGGUGGCAGCAGUCGAGAAUUUUUGACAAUGGGGGAAACCCUGAUCGAGCGACGCCGCGUGGAGGAUGAAGGUCUUCGGAUUGUAAACUCCUGUCAUUUGGGAACAAGGUGCACACGUUAACUGCGUGCGUAUUGAUAGUACCAGAAGAGGAAGAGACGGCUAACUCUGUGCCAGCAGCCGCGGUA
rnacentral:rRNA from 1 species